UACGGAGGGUGCAAGCGUUGUUCGGAAUCACUGGGCGUAAAGGGCGCGUAGGUGGUUUGAUAAGGGUGUGGUGAAAGUCCGGGGCUCAACCCCGGAUCUGCCGUGCCGACUGUCAAACUCGAGGGCUGUAGAGGCAGACGGAAUUCCGGGUGUAGCGGUGGAAUGCGUAGAGAUCCGGAGGAAGACCGGUGGCGAAGGCGGUCUGCUGGGCAGUUUCUGACACUGAGGCGCGACAGCGUGGGGAGCAAACGGG
rnacentral:rRNA from 1 species